UUUCCCCCAGGAUAGCUGGAGCCCAUUACGAGUUCUAUCAGGUAAAGCCAAUGAUUAGAGGCAUUGGGGACGCAACGUCCUCGACCUAUUCUCAAACUUUAAAUAGGUAGGAUGGCUCGGCUGCUUCGGUGAGCCGNNNNNNNNNNAAGUUUCCCUCAGGAUAGCUGGAGCCCAUUACGAGUUCUAUCAGGUAAAGCCAAUGAUUACAGGCAUUGGGGACGCAACGUCCUCGACCUAUUCACAAACUUUAAAUAGGUAGGAUGGCUCGGCCGCUUCGGUGAGCCGUGCCACAAAAUCGGGUGCUCCAAGUGGGCCAUUUUUGGUAAGUAGAACUGGCGAUGCGGGAUGAACCG
rnacentral:rRNA from 16 species